GAUGAACGCUGGCGGCGUGCCUAAUACAUGCAAGUCGAGCGAACAGACGCGGCGCUUGCUCCUCUGUCGUUAGCCGCGGACGUGUGAAUCACACGUGUAUCCCCUCCCUAUCAUACUGAUAUAUCUUCGGGAAACCGGCGCUAACCCCGGAUAAUAUCUUGAACCGCGUGGGUCAUUAGUGAAAUACGGUUUUUCUGUCACUUCUCGAUGCAUCCGCGCCGCUUUAGCUAGUUGUUAAGGUAACGGCUUAUCAAGGCUACGAUGCGUAGCCGACCUGCGAGGGUGGUAGCCCACCUUGGAGGGGGGACACGGUCCAUGCUCCUACGAGAGGCAGCAGUAGGGAAUCUUCGGCAAUGGGGGGAAGCAUGACGGAGCAACGGCGAGGGAGUGAUGAAGGUCUUCGGAUCGUAAAACUGUGUUACGAGGGAAGAACAAAUGUGUAAGUAGCUAUGCACGGCUUGACGGUACCGAGUCAGAAAGCCACGGCUAACUACGUG
rnacentral:rRNA from 1 species